AGGCUGGACACGGAGCUAGAGUCGGACUGAGACGAGCUCUCCUCGUCCGUGCUGAUGUCCGAACUCUCAGACGGACUGUCCUCCAGCUCUUCAUCAGAAGUCCCGGAGUUGCUACUACUGGACAAACUCGACCCGAAAUCCGAGUCGUUGUUGACCCUCUCCGAAUAGGAACUUGAUUCCGUGUCGCUGCUGCAGCUCUCCUGGAAACCAUGAUGUUGAUGGUGAGACCCGUGGUUCAGCCCCCUGCUCACCAGCCUCCCUGUAUGUCUGGCCCUCUCCUGCAAGGACAGACACCAGCCUGGGCCCCAUCCCCACCAGCCUGGGCCCCAUCCCCACCAGCGUCUGCUGGUUGUCCACCAGGCAGGCAGCAGACCUGCACCUCACUGACCCAGGGCUCACUAACUUUUGCAUGUUCGCAAGUCCAGUAAAAGCAUGCAACUUUAGGCAUCCUAUUCCUAAGCCUAUUUGUCAAUAUAUACAGGAGGCAACAAUCCCUCUAACACACUUCAUGAAAAAGGACUAAAAGGCAUCCCUGUGAAGGACAGCAACUUUGACCUGUUCUGUCCUGAGCUAAUAGGCCGUCUGGUCUGAGUGAGUCGACUACAGGGACCAUGAAAAGCAGCCAACAUGUCUUCUCCUGGUAGGACGGAGAACAGGAAGGGAGAGGAGAGAAGAGAGGAGAGAAGAGAGGAGGAGAGGGCAGCCCCCCCUCCAGCCUGGGGCAUGCUAGGGGAUCAGCCUGGGUCUCUCCCUGCCCGGCUGCAGCUUCCUGGCCUUGUCAGAGAGGGUCUGAGGGAGCCCCUUUAGGUCCGGAGCCUGUGGUCUGACCUGUCACGCCGCCUGGCGUUCCAGUAACCAAGGCAGGUGGGUUGUAGCUUCGACCAUCAGUCUACUCACACUCACCAGGAUAAUGGGUUUGGAAGUGUGCUCUGCAUGUUUCCUGUGUGUGUGCCCAGUCUAGAAAUGUAUAAAUAAAGAGGAAUGGGCCCAAAGCACACGCUCACUGUACAACAUUAGCUAUAUACCACAAUCCCCUUGCCCAAUAGAUGAAUCUAUAAUCAACCCUGCAAUGUGAUGAUUUUCAGGCAAUGCCAUUAUGUCAAUAUAUGACCACACUUGGUGAUUUAUAUGUUUGUUUGAUCAAGUUUUGUAGUCAACCCUGAAAUUGAAGAUGAUUUUAAGAUG